rnacentral:lncRNA from 1 species
ACUAAACUUAUACAAGUUUUGAAAAGAUGAUUAACCAAAACAAAAAGUACUAAAGACAAAAACAGAGAUUAUAGCUAACAUCAGGAAAAUACAUUCCUUAAUUCAUAUGAUCAUAAAAAUCUUCAAAUAAAUACAGUAAACACAGUAUAAAAAGCAAAAAUAAAGACUGAGAAACACACCCCAAACGAGUCUAUGGGUGAUCUCCGAUGAUCUGGAAGUGAAGGCAGUUCCCUAUUUAUAUAUAAAAUAUUUUAAACCCGAAUUCUAUAUUUUCCGUUCUUUACCUAAUUUUCACACUUAACAGAAGUCGCUUUUAACUUAAAUGAAAUGUUUUCACCAAAGUUUUUCAAAUUGAUUUGUAUUGAUUUCUGAAGACGAAAUCCCCCCUCCCAAACAAUUAAAUAGCUUUGAAUUCUGUGACAUCACACUUAUCAGCAUUUCGGACUAGGGUCUCAAGUCAAACAAAAGAAUGUGAAUGAACUUACAACGAAUAAGAAAACAUAUAUUUCCAUAUAAACUACAUGGAAUUAAGUACACAUGUCAAUGUAAGAAAGUAAAAAUACAUAUUGAGGAUGAUAGAGUUUCUCUGCUGAUAUAUAAUAAGUCAAACGAAGUGUUACAUCCAUAAUUUGAUAUUAUAGUUUCUCUAAUUCUAUGGAAAUAUAUCCCUUUCCGAACCAAUUGUAUAAAAAUAUUUAAUCAACGUGUGGUUGCCGGUGAUCUCAGAAGAUGAUUGGCUGAGUCAAAGGGUCAUAACCUUUCUCAGCUCCCUGAAUUUAACAAAAUGUUCUGACAGGUGUUAAUUAAAUUGACAACUUUGUGGAAAGUGGAAGGCACUCGAAGGGGAUUUUGGUUUAGAAAUUUAUCAUUUAAUCAUUAGAGAAACAGAUUAUUACAUAGUAACGCGUGGAUUAUCGGAUUUAUCCUAUCACGAUAGUUGAAUUAUAAAUUUUAAAGUCCUCGCCGAGGUUCGGACUUUAAAAUAGAUAAUUUAACUAUCUCGAUUGGAUAAAUCUGAUAAUCCACUUAUAUCAAUGUAAUAAUCAGUAUAUAAAUGCUUGUUUAAGACUAAGAUAAGAACAAUUACCAGAAAAUUUAUAAAACCAUGUUUACCCUAAAAUACUUCAGAUUUAGGUACAGAGGUUGGUCAUAACUUUACAGCGUCACUCUUAUCGUCAUGAAAAGGAGGCGAAAGAUACCAAUUUAAAUCAAAUCAUUUUAUUGGUGUAAAAUCCAAAUUUUGGAUUGUUACCAAGACAAACAUGACAAUCAUAACAAAC